rnacentral:rRNA from 1 species
GACGAACGCUGGGGCGUGCUUAACACAUGCCAGUCGAACGGAAAGGCCCUGCUUUUGUGGGGUGCUCGAGUGGCGAACGGGUGAGUAACACGUGAGUAACCUGCCCUUGACUUUGGGAUAACUUCAGGAAACUGGGGCUAAUACCGGAUAGGAGCUCCUGCUGCAUGGUGGGGGUUGGAAAGUUUCGGCGGUUGGGGAUGGACUCGCGGCUUAUCAGCUUGUUGGUGGGGUAGUGGCUUACCAAGGCUUUGACGGGUAGCCGGCCUGAGAGGGUGACCGGCCACAUUGGGACUGAGAUACGGCCCAGACUCCUACGGGAGGCAGCAGUGGGGAAUAUUGCACAAUGGGCGGAAGCCUGAUGCAGCAACGCCGCGUGCGGGAUGACGGCCUUCGGGUUGUAAACCGCUUUCGCCUGUGACGAAGCGUGAGUGACGGUAAUGGGUAAAGAAGCACCGGCUAACUACGUG